GGCUGUGGGAACAAUCUGUGUGGUACAUCUGUGGCCCCGCUGGCUGCCAGGUGUCUGGAGACCUGUGUGCCAUCUCUCCCCGUCAUGCCAUGUGCCUGCCUCCUGAGGCUGUGAGCUGCAUCCAAGAGAAUGACCUUCCUCGACAGAGGAGGACAGCUCUCCAGGAAAAGGAAUGGGAGGAACUUCCUUCUUCUGCUCGAACCCGCAACUACAGGUUUAAAAUGCUGUGUGUGUGUGCAGGUGCGUGUGCGUGUGUGUGUGUACGUCUUUAGUUAGUGAGACCACUGUAG
ensembl:misc_RNA 7SK 7SK RNA